CCUACGGGAGGCAGCAGUGAGGAAUAUUGGUCAAUGGGCGCGAGCCUGAACCAGCCAAGUAGCGUGAAGGAUGACUGCCCUACGGGUUGUAAACUUCUUUUAUAAAGGAAUAAAGUGAGGCACGUGUGCCUUUUUGCACGUAUUUCAUGAUUAAGGAUCGGCCAACUCCGUGCCAGCAGCCGCGGUAAUACGGAGGUUCCGAGCGUUAUCCGGAUUUAUGGGGUUUAAAGGGAGCGUGGAUGAGUUGUUAAGUCAGUUGUGAAAGUUUGCGGGCAAACCGUAAAAUUGCAAUUGAUACUGGCAGCCUUGAGUGCAGUGGAGGUAGGCGGAAUUCGUGGUGUAGCGGUGAAAUGCGUAGAUAUCACGAAGAACACCGAUUGCGAAGGCAGCCUACUAAACUGCCACUGACAUUGAUGCUCGAAAGUGUGGGGAUCAAACAGGAUUAGAUACCCUUGUAGUC
rnacentral:rRNA from 1 species